UGGGGAAUAUUGGACAAUGGGGGAAACCCUGAUCCAGCGAUGCCGCGUGAGUGAAGAAGGCCUUCGGGUUGUAAAACUCUUUCAGUGGGGAAGAUGAUGACGGUACCCACAGAAGAAGCACCGGCUAACUCCGUGCCAGCAGCCGCGGUAAUACGGAGGGUGCAAGCGUUGUUCGGAAUUACUGGGCGUAAAGCGUGCGUAGGCGGUUUACUAAGUCAGACGUGAAAGCCCCGAGCUUAACUUGGGAACUGCGUUUGAUACUGGUAGGCUAGAGGACUUGAGAGGAUAGUGGAAUUCCUAGUGUAGAGGUGAAAUUCGUAGAUAUUAGGAAGAACACCAGUGGCGAAGGCGGCUAUCUGGCAAGUUACUGACGCUGAGGUACGAAAGCGUGGGGAGCAAACAGG
rnacentral:rRNA from 1 species